rnacentral:rRNA from 1 species
CAAUGUAGUUAGGAUAGCACUAUUUGAUGUAUUUCUGGGGAGCCCACUGAAGCUAAGCAGGGCUGUGCCCGGUCAGUAUCUGGAUGAGAGACCACAUGGGAAAGCUAGGUUGCUGCUUUAA